AACUUGUACCUUCUCUCUCUCUCUCUCAAACUAAGAAAAAACUUAACUUCGUACAAUCUCUCUCUCUCUCUCUCUCUCUCUGAAUGCGCUUCCUUUUCUCCACGCGCCUGAUCAGUACCUCGCUCCGAUCUCCACGCGCCGUCGCCACCGUCCCCUUCCGAUCUAUCUCUGCAGACGCUUCCUCUCCGGUAUCUAGAUCGGCGGCGAAUCCGAAGGCGGCGACUGCCUCCUCCUCGACGACGGCGAUGACUGCCGUUAGCUCAUCGGAGGAAGGGCUCGCGGCGCGGCUGUGGGUCAAGUUUCGUAGAGAAUGCCUGUUCUCGAUGUACAGUCCCUUCGCCGUCUGUUUGGCCGCUGGGAAUCUCAAGAUCGAGACGUUCCGUCACUAUAUUGCUCAGGAUGUUCAUUUCCUCAAGGCCUUUGCCCAGGCGUAUGAAUUGGCGGAGGAGUGCGCUGAUGAUGAUGAUGACAAGUUGGCAAUCUCUGAUUUGAGGAAAAGUGUUAUGGAGGAACUGAAAAUGCACAACUCAGUUGUACAGGAGUGGGGUGUAGACGUUGAAGAAGAGGUUUCAGUUAACUCUGCAACUUUGAGAUACACUGAAUUCUUAUUAGCAACAGCCUCUGGAAAAGUAGAAGGAAUAAAAGCUCCCGGCAUGCUUGAUACUCCUUUCGAGAAGACCAAAGUUGCCACCUACACACUUGGUGCUGUGGCACCUUGCAUGAAGUUAUAUGCUUUUCUCGGUAAGGAGUUCGAAGCACUUGUAGAUCUGAGCGAUGGGAACCAUCCUUACAAGAAAUGGAUUGAAAAUUAUUCUUGUGAAGAUUUCCAGACAUCAGCUAAGCAAACGGAAGACUUGCUCGAGAAACUUAGUGUGUGUAUGACCGGGGAGGAACUAGACAUCAUUGAGAAGUUGUAUCAACAGGCUAUGAAACUUGAAAUAGAGUUCUUCCAUGCACAGCCGCUUGCUCAGCCUACCAUAGUUCCUCUGACGAAAGAGCACAACCCUGAAGAAGAUCAUCUGAUGAUAUUUUCUGAUUUUGAUCUUACUUGCAGUGUUGUUGAUUCUUCUGCCAUUUUGGCAGAAAUUGCAAUAGUAACUGCUCCAAAAUCUGAUCAGAGUAAAUCUGAGCAACAAAUUCAUCGGAUGGUGUCAGUUGACCUUAAGAACACAUGGACUCAUCUUUCUAAACAAUAUACAGAAGAGUAUGAAGAGUGUAUAGAGAAUGUUCUAAAGAAGGAAAAAGUGGACGCCUUUGACUAUGAGGGUUUAUGUAAAGCACUAGAGCAGCUCUCGGAUUUUGAAAAAAUGGCAAAUCUCCGGGUGAUUGAUUCUGGUGUACUCAAAGGUCUGAAUCUUGAAGACAUCAAAAGAGCUGGUGAAAGGUUAAUUCUUCAAGAUGGCUGCCUCAAUUUCUUCCAGAGAAUUGUAAAAAAUGAAAUACUGAGUGCAAAUGUCCACGUGCUUUCUUAUUGCUGGUGUGGCGAUCUCAUCAGAGCAGCCUUUUCUGCAGGAGGAUUUGAUGCCCUUAAAGUACAUGCAAAUGAAUUGACGUUCGAGGAGUCUAUAUCAACCGGCGAAAUCACAAGAAAAGUGGAAUCCCCGAUCGAUAAAGCUCGAGAAUUCAAAACAGUUCUGCAUAAUCGCAGUAGUGACAAGAAAAGCUUAUUAACUGUUUAUAUCGGAGAUUCAGUAGGUGACUUGCUGUGUCUCCUCGAAGCAGAUAUAGGAAUAGUCGUUGGCUCUAGUUCGAGCCUCAGGAGAGUGGGAAGCCAUUUCGGCAUCUCGUUUGUUCCGUUGUUCUCUGGCAUCGUUCAGAAACAAAAACAAAAAGCCGAAGAUGAAUCCUCGACGUGGAAAGGACUCUCUGGCACGCUCUAUACAGUAUCCAGCUGGGCUGAGAUUCAUGCCUUCUUUCUUGGUUGGUAGGAAACUCGGGUUUGUUCUUUUCAGCAGAAAUCAGUUAGGAGCAUUACCGAGGAGUUAACCGUAUAUACGGAAUUCAAAAGAUUAAAAUAAAAAACUUUUCCAGUGGCUGAUUUUAUUGAAGAGCCACGGAUAUCCCGUCUUUCGCUACUUCCUUCUAUUCUACAGAGACAGAGUGAUCGACGCACAACAAAAACCUUUAGCGUCGGGAGAUCCACGAUGCAGACCGGAAUCAACAAAUCUCAAGGGCAAAUUCACAAGCUGUUCUUUGGCAUUUGUGUUUCCUCCCCCUCCAAUAUAAGUAGAUAAUCUGCAUUGAUGGCUCCCAUAUUAUUUUGAUAAAUUUUAAGUAUGAAUUCUCGAAUGGAACGAAUCAAAAGGUAUGAUAUAGAUUGUGAGAUAUGAAUGUUUGUGAUUCUUGGCUCAAAUUUUAUUUUCUUUGGCAAUUUUUUUGUUGCCCGCGAUUAUUGUUUACAAUUUGUAAUAUUACUUGUUGAAAGCAUUGUAUUUGGUAUUGAUGAAUAAGUAGUGAAUUUGACUGAAAUGUUUUA